rnacentral:rRNA from 1 species
UACGUAGGGGGGCGAGCGUUGUCCGGAAUUACUGGGCGUAAAGGGCGCGUAGGCGGUUCGCUAAGUCCGUUGUGAAAGACCGAGGCUCAACCUCGGGGUGUCAACGGAGACUGGUGAACUCGAGUGUCGGAGAGGAGCGGGGGAAUCCCUGGUGUAGCGGUGGAAUGCGUAGAGAUCAGGGGGAACACCGAUGGCGAAGGCACCGCUCUGGCCGAACACUGACGCUGAGGCGCGAAAGCUGGGGGAGCGAACGGG